CCUACGGGGGGCAGCAGUGGGGAAUAUUGCACAAUGGGCGCAAGCCUGAUGCAGCCAUGCCGCGUGUGUGAAGAAGGCCUUCGGGUUGUAAAGCACUUUCAGCGGGGAGGAAGGCGUUAAGGUUAAUAACCUUGGCGAUUGACGUUACCCGCAGAAGAAGCACCGGCUAACUCCGUGCCAGCAGCCGCGGUAAUACGGAGGGCGCAAGCGUUAAUCGGAAUUACUGGGCGUAAAGCGCACGCAGGCGGUCUGUCAAGUCGGAUGUGAAAUCCCCGGGCUCAACCUGGGAACUGCAUUCGAAACUGGCAGGCUAGAGUCUUGUAGAGGGGGGUAGAAUUCCAGGUGUAGCGGUGAAAUGCGUAGAGAUCUGGAGGAAUACCGGUGGCGAAGGCGGCCCCCUGGACAAAGACUGACGCUCAGGUGCGAAAGCGUGGGGAGCAAACAGGAUUAGAUACCCGGGUAGUC
rnacentral:rRNA from 1 species